CAUUUGGAGUGAUAGAAAUGUUCUGUUUCUUGUUUGUGGUAUUGUAAACACAACGGUAUAAAUUUGUCAGGAUUUAUAAAACGGUACACCUAAAAACAUCGAUUUUGCAAUAUGUAUAAUGCAUCUCAAUAUCUUGAUUUUUAAAAAGCUAAAUGCGGCUUACAGAGGGAAGAUAACUUGAGAUUGAGUAUCUUGUUUCUAAACAUAAAUUGUUGAUGUGUUGGCAAGUACAACUUCUAUCUUUAAUAAAAGUUGCCGUGGAUUCUCUCAACGAUGCACACUUAAAUGCAGACUAAAAGUAAAUAUUGAUCUUUUGGGAUUUAUCUUCAUUUUUCCUGUCUUCCUUUCCUUGGCUUUUAAAGAUCACUUCACCUUCCACAUCCUUUUUCCCUUUUCCCAUAGGCUGAUGGAUAAAUGUGGCAGUGGGGUAAGCUGGUUUAGACCAUGACAAGAACAACACUCAGCAAGGCAUCCUAGAAAUUGGGAUGUGUCCGGGAGCAUCUGGAGUGACCACCCAGGCUGACUCAUUGCUUGCCCAGCUGUUAAGAGUUCACUGUUUCUUCCUAUAGUGCCUUCUCUUAUCAUGACUCAGCAAUUCUUCCCCAUCUCUGCUCCCAGCAUAGUGGCUUAGUUGGAGUCUUGCAUCUUUAUCAGCAACAUAUGCAUGGCACUUAGCAAAGGUACAGGUCCUUGGAUGUUUGAGUUUUCAACACUGUCAUGAGCCAUAUAAUGAUUCAAUUUUCCCAUCACUUGUCUAUGUCCAAAUUGCCUCAAAAGUCUUGCACGAUGAGUGGUAACAGCAUUUGCCCUCCGUUUGGUGUACACCCUCUGUAGUUCUUUAGGAAACAGGUAGAAUUUCCAUUCCUUCUAUGAAGUUGAUGCCUGGAGCACUGAGUGAAUUAACUUGUCUUUUUGCCUUAUUGAAUUGAUCAGAAUAUUUGGCAUCUUUCAUCUUCAACCCUUGUCGUCAUUAUUGCCUUGUGACUUUUGUGAAGAAUGUGGUUUCUAUCACAUAAUUCUAUAAAUUCAAUCAAACCAUGACUCAGAAAGUGUUGAUAUCUUCUGAAUGACAUUUUCAACAAAUGCCCCAAACAGUAUGGAUUGAACAGCAUCAUCCAUUGAACUAAUGAAAGCUGGAGCCUGUAUUAUCCUCAGUCCACUGCCUUAAACCUCAGGGAACAAUUAAAUACCCUAGGAUUGGAUUGCUGGGUCAAAGAACAGGAGCCUGUUUAACUUCAGAAGACACUGGCAGCUUUCAUUUCUUCUUUGGUGUAACGUGAUAUUCAUUUUUUAGUUCUUCUGAAGUACUUGAGGGUCCUCAGAGGAAUGAAUCUA
rnacentral:lncRNA from 1 species